rnacentral:lncRNA from 1 species
GGGAGGGGUGGGCUCUGGGGGAUGCUGGGCUGGGACUCGGGAGAGCCAGGGGGUAGGGCCUGGGGACCAGAAGAGGACCCCAAGUUGGAUCUGCGGGGCGGGGACCGGGUGUUGGCGUAGGGGAGGGAGGUCGUGAGGAGGAGCGCUUGGCUGCUGUUGGGUCAGAGGAGCGCGGGCACCCCAGAAGUCCAGCCUUCGAAGUUUGAGAUGAGAGGAGUCCGGGGUCUAGAAGGUGGGCGCGAUGCUGGAGCGGGGAACCCGCCCUCGGAGUCCCUGCGCCGAGUUGUAGAGAGCCUGCGGCAACAGGUAUCCCCGAAGGACGGGUGGACCCCAAGCUGGCCUUUGUCCUGCGCCUUCGAAGCCUUUCCAAAGGGACCUCUGGGGGUGGGGUGGGGGUUCCUAUCCCUUGAGUACUUGUGACUGUUUUGGCGCGUUGGGUGGAGGAGGGUGAACCCGAGUUUGAAGAUCAGGAUGGAGAGGCUGGCUCGCGCCCCACCUCCAAUUGUGUAAGAGCCUUUAUCUUCUGGGGCUGACCCUUUGCAGCAUUUCGUCUCUGGGGAUGAGGAAAAACUGGCAGAAACUCGAUGCCAAAGUGGAUUGUUCACCCUGAUUGGCAGAGAAAGUGCCAACAAAAGAGGGGCAUCUCCCGGAAACAAUGACUUUUGGGGAUUUCGCUCUCCCCUCGACUUGUCCACCUUGGGAUGGGGGAAGGGGUGGCGGUGACAGGGUUGCUGGGGAGGGGACCCGUGCGGGCGUCCCCAGAGUAAAGUUUGCAGCGAGGUAGAGGGAAGAUAGGGUCGGGGCGGGAGAUGCGGGAAAGGGCGAGAGGAAGAAGGGGUGAGAGGGAGAAACCUGCCGCCGCUCGCCGCCUCUUUGUCUGCUCCGGGACUUGGAACAAAAGGGGGAACUUGAUGAACUCUCCUUCCUCCCCUCUUCCCCGGACGCCCGGGUAUCUCCGUCUCGCAACUUUGCCUACGCGACUUUCUCCGCUGUCAGGCCACCAGAAAGUGUCCGAGGGCCUCGCGGGUCUGCGACGAGGUGUGAUUAUUGUGAGCAUCUGGGAGUGUGGAGCAGUGGCUUCAGUCCUUCCUACCACCGACCUUACGUGUUCCGUACCAUUCUUAUUGGAUCUAUCAGAAAACAGCAUGCAAGAGCCAGCAGCCAACCAUUCCUGGUGGAGCACCAUCAAACUUCCUCCGUUGGAGUUACUUAAAAGUUAUAUUGUUGGGAUUUUUGAUAACGCCUUUCCUUAUGUGGAUUACUACAAUUUGAUGGCUGGGAACUCUCCACUCAGAAGGUAUGUUUCUUUGUAGACACCGUGUGAGUUCUUGGAAAGGACCAUCUCCUGAUUUUUGAGCUGUGGUCAAAGUGAUUUAUGACUUCAGAUUGCCUUGGUUGGAUCUAAUUUUUGUUGAUCCUUUUUCAUUUGGAAUGAUGACUUCAGUACUUUUGAUGAAGUUUUAUUAAUUUUACAAUGUGCUUUUCAACGUAUGCAC